GACGAACGCUGGCGGCGUGCUUAACACAUGCAAGUCGAACGGAAAGGCCCUGCUUUUGUGGGGUGCUCGAGUGGCGAACGGGUGAGUAACACGUGAGUAACCUGCCCUUGACUUUGGGAUAACUUCAGGAAACUGGGGCUAAUACCGGAUAGGAGCUCCUGCUGCAUGGUGGGGGUUGGAAAGUUUCGGCGGUUGGGGAUGGACUCGCGGCUUAUCAGCUUGUCGGUGGGGUAGUGGCUUACCAAGGCUUUGACGGGUAGCCGGCCUGAGAGGGUGACCGGCCACAUUGGGACUGAGAUACGGCCCAGACUCCUACGGGAGGCAGCAGUGUGGAAUAUUGCACAAUGGGCGGAAGCCUGAUGCAGCAACGCCGCGUGCGGGAUGACGGCCUUCGGGUUGUAAACCUCUUUCGCCUGUGACGAAGCGUGAGUGACGGUAAUGGGUAAAGAAGCACCGGCUAACUACGUG
rnacentral:rRNA from 1 species